AGGCUUUUAGGUUAAAAUAAACCCUAAGCCUUCAAAGCUUAAAAAAAACACAAAUUGUUUAAAGCCUG
rnacentral:tRNA from 1 species